rnacentral:tRNA from 1 species
GACGAGAUGACCGAGUGGUUAAGGUGAUGGACUGCUAAUUCAUUGUGCAUUGCACGCGUGGGUUCGAAUCUCAUCUUCGUCG